AACGAACGCUGGCGGCAGGCCUAACACAUGCCAGUCGAGCGCCCCGCCAGGGGAGCGGCGGACGGGUGAGUAACGCGUGGGAAUAUGCCCUUUGCUACGGAAUAGUCUCGGGAAACUGGGGGUAAUACCGUAUACGCCCUUUGGGGGAAAGAUUUAUCGGCGAAGGAUUAGCCCGCGUUGGAUUAGGUAGUUGGUGGGGUAAUGGCCUACCAAGCCGACGAUCCAUAGCUGGUUUGAGAGGAUGAUCAGCCACACUGGGACUGAGACACGGCCCAGACUCCUACGGGAGGCAGCAGUGGGGAAUCUUAGACAAUGGGGGCAACCCUGAUCUAGCCAUGCCGCGUGAGUGAUGAAGGCCUUAGGGUUGUAAAGCUCCUUCAGCUGGGAAGAUAAUGACGGUACCAGCAGAAGAAGCCCCGGCUAACUCCGUG
rnacentral:rRNA from 1 species